GACGAACGCUGGCGGCGUGCUUAACACAUGCAAGUCGAGCGGAAAGGCCCUUCGGGGUACUCGAGCGGCGAACGGGUGAGUAACACGUGAGUAACCUGCCCCAGACUUUGGGAUAACCCUCGGAAACGGGGGCUAAUACCGGAUACGACACAGCUUCGCAUGGGGUCUGUGUGGAAAGUUUUUCGGUUUGGGAUGGGCUCGCGGCCUAUCAGCUUGUUGGUGGGGUGAUGGCCUACCAAGGCGACGACGGGUAGCAGGCCUGAGAGGGCGACCGGCCACACUGGGACUGAGACACGGCCCAGACUCCUACGGGAGGCAGCAGUGGGGAAUAUUGCACAAUGGGCGGAAGCCUGAUGCAGCGACGCCGCGUGAGGGAUGACGGCCUUCGGGUUGUAAACCUCUUUCAGCAGGGACGAAGCGUAAGUGACGGUACCUGCAGAAGAAGCGCCGGCCAACUACGUG
rnacentral:rRNA from 1 species